CUGAAAAUUUCUUUUCAGGCUUCUCAGACCAGGAUUUCUUUUUUUAGAAUAUAACUUCAAAAGGAGAUACAGACUUGAUUCAGGAAUCUGAUGAAGAAUUCUUAAGUCAUGACCGUCUUGCAUGACAGUAUUAGGCAUUUACUGUAACUGGCCCCUUUCCAGGAUACUGGUUCUUUGAAAAGCACAUGGAUUUCAUUGUGAAGGAAAUACAGACACUUAAAGCCUUUCUAGGAUCCCUUCUCCCCAAGGCCUUUUGCUAAUGUGUACCAGAACAUUCUUGAAAGGAGAAAAAAGAAAAAAAGAGAAAGAAAUGCUUUGUAAAGAAAAGGGUCUGCCUGUGGGCAUUUCUGGCACCCCUGCCUUGUAUUAAUCUGCAACCUAGUUAAGAGAAUGGGAAAUAGGUUGUUGUGUGUGGUGCUUUCCAGAAUAAGAGCUACUCUUCAUCUGAACACUUACGAUAUGCCAGCCACUGUGAUACGUUCUUCCUGUGGAUAAUCUCAUUUGCUCAUCACAACUGACCAAUAAGAUGCCAACCCUGGAGCUUAGAGUAGCUCAUUGAUGGGCCCAAGGUUGCAGCUAUUACAUGAUUGAGCAGAGAAUCUGGUUUGGUAUUGAACCCGCAAGCCCUUGUUCUGUCCUGUUCCACACUGUCCCAGAGCUGCUCCCCUUCCCUGGGGAGCGGGAGCCGAGGGGGCAACUUGUCAUUCCCAGCAGGCUUUGCCUGUGGGAGGGCUCCAGGGUCUUGAGAGAGCUCUGCACACAUCCUCAGGGUCUCCCUGCAGUCUCGCGAAUGGCACUUGACAGGAAUUCGAUCAUCAAAGUUCAGUUACUGAGGGUAUGAAAAUAGCACAAAUUGUAGGGUUUGCUUAUAUGCUCUCUGGCCCCAAUAGGAACCACCAACCAACAAAUGUAGGAGGUCCGGAUGAAGGAACGGAGAGCACGUGGUAAUAAAUGUACAAGUGUUUUAUGGAAUGUUCAAGUGCUCUUACCCUUAAAUGUUUGAUUUUUCUCUCAGGAAAAAACGCAACUCCAAUAAUCUAAACUCUAUAAUUUAGGGCAGGAGCUCUUCCUUACCCUUUGUGAAGUUCUUGCAAGCUUAAAGGUAUGACUCAACAAGCUUCUCUCCAGACCAAAAUGUGAUGUCACACUUGGACUGAGAAAGGAACUCUAUAAAAAUAUGUAAAUGUAAUUUUUAUCCUAGAAUGUUAAUUUUAUCCAUGUGACUGUUGAGAGAAAAGGAUGGCAAUACCAUCUGAAAAUGAAAAUACUCUCAGUCAGGGAGCUGGUCAAAUAGUAAUUAUGUAAAACCUGUGCUUGAUAAAUUUUAAAGAUACCCUAGAGUCAUACCAUUUAAACACUCAAAGCUUAUUUAUCUGUUUUUUGAAACAUUAUUUUUCCUUAAUUUUUUAAUUGAGGUGUAAUUGGCAUCACAUUUUACUAGUUUUGGGUGGACAACAUACUGAUUUGAUACAUGUAUAUGCUGUGGAGUGACCACCACACUCAGUCUAACCUCCAUCAGCACACAUAGUUAUGACUUUCUUCUCCUUGUGAUGAGAACUUUUAAGAUUUACUCUCUUACCAACUUUCAAAUACACCGUACAGUAGCUUUUGUUUCAGACUGAGAUUUGAAGGCCAGGAAAAGGGUGUUCAGGACACAAGUUGGCCACCCAAGGUAGAUUGGAAAAGAUAGUUCUAGGACAGGGACCUGCGGAUCCAGAAGCUCAGCUUCUCGUUCUUUCUCUUUCCCAAAGGCAAGAAAAGAUAAGCUACUGAAAGCUUAGGACUAGUAGGGCUGCUAGAGCUUUCCUUUAAAAAAAAAAAAAAAUUUAAAUUUAUUUAUUCAUGAGAGACACACAGAGAGAGAGAGAGAGAUUGAGAGAGAGAGAGGCAGAGACACAGGCAGAGGGAGAAGCAGGCUCCAUGUAGGGAGCCCGAUGUGGGACUCCAUCCCAUGACCCCGGGGUCACGAACUGAGCCAAAGGCAGAUGCUCAACGGCUGAGCCACCCAGGCAUCCCACUGGAGUUUUCCUGUAAAGAAGCAGUAAGGGGACAACAGCUGGUAAGUGUGUCCUUAUCAGAAGCUGCUGUAAGGAAAUGCCCCCUUCCAUGGCACAGUCACCCAAGCCGGCCUUUUCAAGUUGCCUCCCCGCUGGUCUCAUUCAGAAAGCAGGGCCCCCUGGGCAAAGAGGGCAAGGAAGCUAAGGAGAAGUGGGUCAGAGCCUGCCUCAGCCUACUUGCUCCACAUAGAGAUUCUUUUGUUUCCUGCUUGCCUUCAUCAUUUCCUGCCCCUCCCUUUAUUUGGGCCUGGAGUUUGUCUGCCUGAAGCAGCUCACUCAGCCAUCACCCAUCAUGUGGCCCCCAUCCUCAUCCUAGUCUUUCUCUUUGACAUGUCUGCUUUAUUGGGGGCUGCUCGCUGUUCUCUUGGAAUGGAACAUGAAUAGGCAGGGGAACCCCAGAGCACCUACCAGCAAGCCCCCCCCAAGUGGGAAGAGGUUCCGAAGGUUGGCCUUUGGAGAGAGCCCCCCAGGUCAGUGGUCAGGUUCAGGGCGGGGAGGUCCGACUGUCAGAAUAGAGAAAGUGGGAAGGACGAGUGGAAAGUUGGAAAUAACAGGUUGCUCAGCCUCAUUGGAGACCACACGUGCCCCAAGAGGAGGCAACGCCCGAAGCAGAGUAAGGGGAAAGGAGAGGGAGUCUGGUGGGCAGUUUUGCACAGCUGGGGCCCAAGAGUGGGGCUGGGGGCAGAGUGGAGCUACCCAGACUGAGCCAAGAGGCCCGGAUCCUAGCUGUGGCGCCAGAGGGGUUUGGCAGCUAGAGGCCCAGAACCUUGGUUCUUAGGGUGAUGGAAGUUCUGCUGAGCAAGACACGAAGGGGCACUUCUCAUGCCUAAUCCUGCCCACCAGAACCUGCCUUCUUCUGAAGCUUCUGUACGUUAUGUUCACUAUUACCUCACCCUACCCUUCUGACCCUUGGCCUUCUUUGUUUUGAUCAUCUCUCUUCAUCCUAACGUCAUCUUCUGCGCUUCUCUGUAGAUCCUGCCUUAUUGGCUGUCGUGGUGCUUCCACAUGCCUUAUCUCCAGCCCUGUUUGGAGCCUACAUUCCAAUUCUCUGGCUUAAUGGGCCUCCCCAGACCCUGCUCGAGGAUCUCCCACAGUCACUUUAUUGGCCCGCCCUCCCACAGCCAGCUUUCACGGCAGAAGCUUACAACGGGGGUGGGGGGGGCACAGUUGGAUGGAAAUAUGGUACCACUCUCCGUCCCAACCUCUUGAUUCAGGGUUGGAUGGGGUGUUUCUGGUUCACAUUCUGGAGGCUUAUGGUCCUUUUAACUCAGAGUACAAUCACUACAUUGGAAUCAGCACUUCUCUUAGGAGAUUCUAAGGGCCAGGGAAUUGCUGGACACUUGCAUCACUCACCUCGAGGAGUCAGAGCAGGGCCACUGAGUUCUGGGACCUCUGGGGCUGGUCAAGAUCACCUAUCAGUAAUUCCUGCCCGCUAGGUUGGUAUGAGCACUUUAUCUCUUCCAUCCACCUCUCAAACUCACAGUUGGGGCAUUCACAGAUUGGUCUCAUUUAUCCAAAAUUCCCUGGCCCUUUCUUGUUUGCUUAACAUAGGACUUUGGAAUUUCUUUGUCCCCUUAUGGCAGCAGCUCUGUUCUACAUAAUUCUUUUGGCACAGAGUUCUAAAAAGAUCCUGUAGUUUUACUUUGAAGUUGAUGCAAGAAAUAUUGCUUGUAGGACACUGGGAAAAAUCUUUCAGAAGGAGUGAAAUAUUAAUUAUAUCUGAUAUUUAUCUGGCCUUUGAUGUAGAAUGAGGACUGUGUUGUUUGCCUGGGACAAACAGUGCUUUCUCUCAUCUCCUUUUUUUCCCAAUAAACUCGAAUUCUCCUGUAGUUUCCUAUUAGCCUUAAUGUUGGAAUGUGGGAAAGGUUUGUGAUUUUGAAAUGUAGGGUCUUUCUGAGAUAGGGAUGAAGAUAUUACAAUUUUACAACUUGUCUUAGAAAAAUAAAGGAUUACAAGAAUAAGAAAAAUUGCAGGAAUUAUACUUACAUGAACGUUGAAUCCAGGGUUGUGUGGGUUGGUGCACUUUGCAAAGGAUUGCCACCAACACUGCAAAGAAACUUAUGACUUACUGAAUUAUUUUGAUGCCCACAGAAAUUACCUUGGAAGUGUCUAAUACAUGAAGAUUAUUCUGUUAUUUCUCACUAAUUAUAGGGCUCAAAUUUUGCAAUUUAAAUACUGUGAGCUUUGAUGUAUAAUGACUGGAGUCAGCCAAGGAGGACUUGAUGCAUCUUAUAAAGAAAUGAAAUGCUAUAACAUUGUGCUUUUAGAGAAAUCUUAGAACAGUCUUGUUAUUACCUAUAAUAAUUAGUAUUCAUGGAGUACUUUUUUUUUAAGAUUUUUUAUUUAUUUAUUCAUGAGAGACACACAGAGAGAGAGAGGAAGAGACACAGGCAGAGGGAGAAGCAGGCUCCAUGCAGGGAGCCCGACGUGGGACUCGAUCCCCGGUCUCCAGGAUCACGCCCUGGACCGAAGGCAGUGCUCAAACCGCUGAGCCACUGGGGCUGCCCCAGUACUUUAUAUUUUAUAUUAUAGAUGGAGUUGAAUCGCCUAUACCAUUUCCUUACCUUUCUUCACAAAAGUAAACAGUAUAAUGAACUUGAUAUUUAGCAUUCUCAUGCAUGGUUUACAUUAAUUAAUUAAUUACAUUAAUUCAUCUUUAAACAAUAUAUGAUAUUGUUUCCUGUUUUGAAAUUUUAUGUAAAUGUAACAUACUGUAUAAAUCCUCUUGCAACUUGCAUUUUUUUUGCUCAGCAGUCUGUUAAGAUUUAGUCUAUUGAUAUGCAUAAUUCUAAUUUAUUUAAAUUCUCUGUGGUAUUCUUUUAUAGGACUAGACCUCAAAUUAUCUAUUUAUCCAUAUUUCCUAUUGGUGAAUAUUUAGAUCAUUUUGAUGUUUCUCACCAUUAGAAACAGUGUUGUAGUGAAUAUUUCUGGGCAUGUUUUCUUGUGCAUAUUUGUGAAGAUUCCUUAGGAUAUAUAUUCCUAGGAAUAGAAUUUCUGAAUUUUAAGCUUUCCCUUCACUUUACUAGACAACUGUUCUUUCAGGAAAACUUUUGAUUACAGGUUAUAAGAAAGCUUGCUAACAGUUGUUUAAACAAUAAAGAUUUAAUCAUCUAACAUUGUCAGCAAAAAGACCCAGCCACUUUUUAUACUCUUGCUACCUUAGUGCAAUGGCUUUGUUCCUCUUGUUUGUCACCUCAUGAUCACGACGAAAUGGCU